rnacentral:rRNA from 1 species
UACGUAGGGUGCGAGCGUUAAUCGGAAUACUGGGCGUAAAGCGUGCGCAGGCGGUUGUGCAAGACAGAUGUGAAAUCCCCGGGCUCAACCUGGGAAUUGCAUUUGUGACUGCACGGCUAGAGUGUGUCAGAGGCCGGCGGAAUUCCGGGUGUAGCGGUGGAAUGCGUAGAGAUCCGGAAGAACACCGGUGGCGAAGGCGGCCCGCUGGGCAGUGACUGACGCUGAGGCGCGACAGCGUGGGGAGCAAACAGG